GAUGAACGCUGGCGGCGUGCCUAAUACAUGCAAGUCGAGCGAACGGACGAGAAGCUUGCUUCUCUGAUGUUAGCGGCGGACGGGUGAGUAACACGUGGAUAACCUACCUAUAAGACUGGGAUAACUUCGGGAAACCGGAGCUAAUACCGGAUAAUAUUUUGAACCGCAUGGUUCAACAGUGAAAGACGUUCUUUCUGUCACUUAUAGAUGGAUCCGCGCUGCAUUAGCUAGUUGGUAAGGUAACGGCUUACCAAGGCAACGAUGCAUAGCCGACCUGAGAGGGUGAUCGGCCACACGGGAACUGAGACACGGUCCAGACUCCUACGGGAGGCAGCAGUAGGGAAUCUUCCGCAAUGGGCGAAAGCCUGACGGAGCAACGCCGCGUGAGUGAUGAAGGUCUUCGGAUCGUAAAACUCUGUUAUUAGGGAAGAACAUAUGUGUAAGUAACUGGGCACAUCUUGACGGUACCUAAUCAGAAAGCCACGGCUAACUACG
rnacentral:rRNA from 1 species